UCUGAUAUGGCAGAUAAGUGCGAUGGGUUUAAGCUCCAUAUAUGAAGAUUUUUCUUUUAUUAGAA
rnacentral:tRNA from 1 species